CCAUUUCUUGCAUGUUUUUCUAUGAUUAUUCCAUGAUGUUUUAGGGGGUUUUUGGGGAAUAGUUUAGAGUUAUGUUCAGGUAUGUUUGGUCCCUCAUUUGAGUCCACCUGUGUAGGUUCGGACCCGAGGAACCGAGGACCCCCGCAGUGAGUCUGUUGCCCCAGUGUCUGGUCAGAGCUAUCCAGAGGUGAGUGGAAUAAACCUUUACGUUUAAAGUAAAUAAAUUUCAAAGUUUUGAGCAUUGUUCAUGCAUCAUGAAUGCCAUGUGAUGAAUUAGGUUGCUUGCAUUAGAAUUCACGAAUAUGUUGCAUUGCACAUUUUGAUGUUGAUGUGGAUGAAUGUUGAAUGAUCCAUAGCCCUCGAUCUAUGAUAUGACGAUAUGAUAUGUACGGUACGGAAAGUAAGACCAGUGGGACCCAUUCUACGUUCGCUGGCACUAU
rnacentral:lncRNA from 1 species